CGAGCGGCGGACGGGUGAGUAAUGUCUGGGAAACUGCCUGAUGGAGGGGGAUAACUACUGGAAACGGUAGCUAAUACCGCAUAACGUCGCAAGACCAAAGUGGGGGACCUUCGGGCCUCAUGCCAUCAGAUGUGCCCAGAUGGGAUUAGCUAGUAGGUGGGGUAACGGCUCACCUAGGCGACGAUCCCUAGCUGGUCUGAGAGGAUGACCAGCCACACUGGAACUGAGACACGGUCCAGACUCCUACGGGAGGCAGCAGUGGGGAAUAUUGCACAAUGGGCGCAAGCCUGAUGCAGCCAUGCCGCGUGUAUGAAAAAGGCCUUCGGGUUGUAAAGUACUUUCAGCGAGGAGGAAGGCAUUAAGGUUAAUAACCUUGGUGAUUGACGUUACUCGCAGAAGAAGCACCGGCUAACUCCGUGCCAGCAGCCGCGGUAAUACGGAGGGUGCAAGCGUUAAUCGGAAUUACUGGGCGUAAAGCGCACGCAGGCGGUCUGUUAAGUCAGAUGUGAAAACCCCGGGCUCAACCUGGGAACUGCAUGUGAAACUGGCAGGCUUGAGUCUUGUAGAGGGGGGUAGAAUUCCAGGUGUAGCGGUGAAAUGCGUAGAGAUCUGGAGGAAUACCGGUGGCGAAGGC
rnacentral:rRNA from 1 species